UACGAGGGAUGCAAGCGUUAUCCGGAAUUAUUGGGCGUAAAGCGUUUGUAGGCGGGCGAGUGUGUUUAAUGUUAAAUCUUAAAGCUCAAAUUUGAAAUUGGGUUAAAAACUGCUUGUCUUGAGUAUGGUAGGGGUAAAGGGAAUUCCCAGUGUAGCGGUGAAAUGCGUAGAUAUUGGGAAGAACACUGAACAGCGAAGGCACUUUACUAGGCUAAUACUGACGCUGAGAAACGAAAUGUAAGGUAGCUAAACGG
rnacentral:rRNA from 1 species